rnacentral:rRNA from 1 species
UAAGUUUGAUGGCGACCGGCGCACGGGUGAGUAACACGUAUCCAACCUGCCGAUGACUCGGGGAUAGCUUUUCGAAAGAAAGAUUAAUACCCGAUGGCAUAGUUCUUCCGCAUGGUAGAACUAUUAAAGAAUUUCGGUCAUCGAUGGGGAUGCGUUCCAUUAGGUUGUUGGCGGGUAACGGCCCACCAAGCCUUCGAUGGAUAGGGGUUCUGAGAGGAAGGUCCCCCACAUUGGAACUGAGACACGGUCCAAACUCCUACGGGAGGCAGCAUG